AGCUGCACGCUGAAGACAUAGCGAACUAUUCUUUCGCCUUUUACUAAAGAAUACUGUGUGUUCUCCGCAAUUCAAGCGGCAUACGCCACUUUUUGUAGGGUGUUUCUCUAUAUUGUAACGU
rfam:Erythranthe guttata cultivar DTN x IM62 scaffold_15_contig_49, whole genome shotgun sequence.